rfam:Operophtera brumata OBRT01_Sc09137, whole genome shotgun sequence.
CACAAGGCCCUUUUCAGGGCCACCAUACCUCCUGGUGACUGACUAAU